rnacentral:misc_RNA from 1 species
UCUCCGUUGGUGAACCAGCGGAGGGAUCAUUGUAGAGUUUAUUCUUUUAACUCUUUAACCCUUUGUGAACUUAUUCCGUUCUGUUGCUUCGGCAGGCGGGUGCUGGUAGAAGAACGCUUGUGUAAGUGCGGCUCCGUUAGGGGCGGCUUAUACGGCGGUCUUUAGGCGCCCCGCUUUUGGCCCCUUUGGGGUGUCUGCCGGAUGCCAUAUAGGCGCUGAUUUUAUAACCUGUGUAAAGAAAACCCCUAAAAAGGUUGGAUAUUACUGUUUAUUUUCAGAAACAAAAAACAAAUCAAAUUACAACUUUUAGCAAUGGAUCUCUUGGUUCUGACAUCGAUGAAGAACGCAGC